AGGUCACACCCGUUCCCAUACCGAACACGGAAGUUAAGCUCUUUAGCGCCGAUGGUAGUUGGGACUUUGUCCCUGUGAGAGUAGGACAUCGCUAGGC
rnacentral:rRNA from 1 species